rnacentral:ncRNA from 1 species
GAAAGUUAGAGGUUCGAAGGCGAUCAGAUACCGCCCUAGUUCUAAACAUAAACGAUGUCACCUAACAAUUGGGUGUAGCUAUUGUGGCUCCCUCAGUCGUUUCCCGGGAAAGAAAAAUUUUUGGAC